rnacentral:rRNA from 1 species
GAAAGCGAUGCUAAUACCGGAUAAUAUCAAGUUAACUUCGGUUUUUUUGAUCAAAGGUGGCCUCUACAUGUAAGCUUCUGAUUAGAGAUGAGCCCGCGUACCAUUAGCUUGUUGGUGGGGUAACGGCCUACCAAGGCUGCGAUGGUUAGCUGGUCUGAGAGGAUGAUCAGCCACACUGGAACUGACACACGGUCCAGACUCCUACGGGAGGCAGCAGUGAGGAAUUUUGCGCAAUGGGGGAAACCCUGACGCAGCAACGCCGCGUGAGUGAUGAAGGCUUUCGGGUCGUAAAGCUCUGUCGAGUGGGAAGAAAAACCAGAUACCAAUAAUAUCUGGGAUUGACGGUACCACUGAAGGAAGCACCGGCUAACUCCGUGCCAGCAGCCGCGGUAAUACGGGGGGUGCAAGCGUUAUUCGGAAUCAUUGGGCGUAAAAGGGCGCGUAGGCGGCCUUAUAAGUCAGAUGUGAAAGCCCGGGGCUUAACCCCGGAAGUGCAUUUGAAACUAUAGGGCUUGAGUAUGGGAGAGGG